GGUCCCAAGCGUUGUUCGGAUUCACUGGGCGUAAAGGGUUCGUAGGCGGUCUGAUAAGUCUGAUGUGAAAUCUUCGAGCUCAACUCGGAAACUGCAUCGGAAACUAUUCGGCUGGAGGAUUGGAGGGGAGACUGGAAUUCUCGGUGUAGCAGUGAAAUGCGUAGAUAUCGAGAGGAACACCAGUGGCGAAGGCGAGUCUCUGGACAAUUCCUGACGCUGAGGCACGAAAGCUAGGGGAGCAAACAGG
rnacentral:rRNA from 1 species